GAUUUUUUAUGCCACGUGGUGAUGGCUGAUUGGGAGAAUCCGUUAAGAUUAGAUACUUUAUCAGAAAACCACAAUAAUCUUCUAGAAUCUGCUCCACAAUACAUAUUUGGGAUAAUUGUACUGCAUAAAUUCCGAACACCAUUUCUAUCCAUUAGAGAAAUUUAAUCUUAAUAAGGGCAUUUAAAUAUUUUUAUAUAUUUGAAUUUGGACCGACAUAUCAUUAAAAUAUAGUUAUUUUAUUUUCUCUCUCUCUUUAUCUUGCUCCGUCCUCAUAAAUUUCCUUUGUUAUUCAAACAUUUUGAAGAUUAUAACAUGUAUUUUUUACAAUGGUUGAAAAACAGAGCCCUGAGGAAGAGCUUGUAGAUUUGUCUUCACUGUUGCAUGAUCAUCGCCUAACGAAGGAAAUGUGAACAGAUAAAAAAUUCUCUGCUAUGUAGAUCACGUACUGGCCAGCAAGAGGGAAAACAUGAGAUAUUGUAACAUUGAAUACAAAAACGCGGUGCAGUCUUCUCAAACUUACAUUUAUGGAGGAAUUUCUUAUUGCUGGAUUUUGUUGUAUACUUCAUUGUCAUUUUCUUCUCUAAUCCUGUUAGCCGACCUAAAAACUAAUAUGUCAGACUAACACCGAGUUUUUGUGGCACAUAUGCCCCUCUUUUGUAUAAGACCAGUGUAGGACAUGUAGAUGGAGCACUAAUAGCGUGGGUAAUCUGGUUUCUCUUUGUAUCUUUGCAAAUUCGUUCGUUUCAACUUAUUUACUAACAUAUUCUCUUUAAAAACUUACAUAAAUGAAAUGGGUGCAAAUUACUUCUAA